AUUUGGAUGACACUGAUGCCUGCCUUCUCCAAAUCCUCCACCUCAUCCUUAAUGGCCAAAGCAAUCUGGUAGCAGGUCUCAAAUCUGGAGAUGAAGAUGACACACAUCAACAUCAACUCGUAAAACAAUUUCAGAUGGGGGACAUAGGUCAUAUAUUAAUUACCUUGGCUGGUCAUUUCUGACAAAUGACCAAUUGAGAAUGGUAACUGGUCCUGUAAACAAUUUCCGAUGGGGGGUAAAAGAUCAAAUAUUAAUUACCUUGGCUGGUCAUUUCUGACAAAUGACCAAUUGAGAAUGGUAACU
rnacentral:lncRNA from 1 species